rfam:Ovis aries breed Texel chromosome 4, whole genome shotgun sequence.
UCCCUGGCAGUCCAGUGGUUAGGAUUCUGCAUUCUUAUUGCCAAAGGCCCAGGUUCAAUCCCUGGUUGGGGAA